CCUAUCAACAUAACCUUACUUUUUUGUUGUAAAUUGUGUUAAUAUUUUUCAAAAAUGGAAUGAAAAAAGGUUGCCCCAGGUUUUAAAUUAGUGAAAAAGUGACUUUUUUGGUGUGUUCGGACGAAAUCGAGUUUGUUGUUUUAGGGGGCCCUAGGGUUGCUCGAGUAUUGAAGGUAUGGUACGUAAUAACGCAAACAAAUUAAUUUUGGCAGCUGUGCUUUAAAUUCAGAUAAGACAACUGGUUAUUGGUGAGGGUAAUGUUGGUUUCGUUUUUUGGUGUAUUAUUGGUUGCCUACACGAUGCUAAUUUUAGUUGUAAUUUUUUCCCGUUUUUAAAUAUUUGUCUCGAGUUCAACGAAUCUUGGAUUUUAGCACUUUCAGAAUAUUAAUUUGUGCGUUAUUAAUAAAUAUUUCGAAAAAAUACUCAUCCAUUUACGAAUUAUUUCUGUUCGUUUUGCAUAUUUGUGGAAAGAUUUGUACUUAUUUAUGGUCAGAAUUAUUGUAUAUUAGAUAAUUGAAACCUUGAAUAAUAAGUAAAUGUUUUUUCUAGCACGUGAUGGCCACUCAUGAUGCUCACCGGAACGUUUUUUAUUGGACUUAAGUUCCACAAAUAAAAUGUAAAAGUGUUUAAAUUAAUCACUGCGAAGUCAAAGUAUUUUUUUCUAAUAAAAGAUCUUGAUUUUAAAA